GGGCAGUCCAUCCUUGUUCUUUAGUGGUCCACAGAAUGUUGGACCAACUAUGGCAUGAAAGCUCUGCCUCAGGGGGCAAGACUCCUGGUUGGCACUGGGGCCUUUAUUGAAAUCUCCCUGGAUUAAAUGGCCUUAGUUUACUAAUGCCCAGUCUGAGGAGAGUCAGGAGGGACAGAAGUACUUUUCUGAAGUAGACAGCUGUCUUUGACUUGGCAAGUCCUCACAGGCUAUAACAAGGCAAGCAUUAAAUGCAACAGUUUGAGGCGAAAUUGACUUGGUUAUGUUAAUAACUAGAUGGUCAGCAAUAGAGCGCGAAAAGAAGAACGAGUAAUAGAAUAGAUGAAAAUAGUUAGAUUUUUCUUAGCUUUAGUUUGGUAGAGUUUUCCUCUGGGACUACGGCCUACGAGUCUGGAGGGGGUGGCACUUUCUUGACUCGGAUGUGAAGAGUCCAUCCUUUUUUGCUGUACGAACAGCAGUCUUGGUGGUUAGCAGCGCAAGGUAGGGUCCUUCCCAGGCUGACUGGAGUUUUUCUUCUUUCCACCUUUCGAUGAGAACGUGAUCUUCAGGCUGCUGCUGGUUUACCGGAAAUUCUAAGGACACCGAGUUAAAGAAGGAAGAGGUUUAUCGGCCGGUAGCAUCGGCAGGACUCCUGUCUCAAGAGCCGAGCUCCCCAGCACAAUUUUCACUCCUCUUUUUAACUAAAAACUGUCUCCUGGCUUCAGUUGCAAGGGAUCUUCAUGAGUGCGACACAAAAGAGAGUGGGAGAAAAGCAUGAACUACAGCCCAGAACAGAAUGACUAAUUCCUGGAGGACGAAUUUGCAUUCAGCUUGAAGGCCAAGAGGUGGAGUUUCACUCUUCAUUGGCCAGGCUGGAGUACAAAUGGUGCAAUCUCGGCUCACCGCAACCUCUGCCUCCCAAAUUCAAGUGAUUCUCCUGCCUCAGCCUCCUGAGUAGCUGGGAUUACAGGCACGCACCAUCAUGCCUGGCUCAUUUUUGUAUUUUUAGGAAAGACAGGGUAUCACCAUGGUGGCCAGGCUGGUCUCGAAUUCCUGACCUCAGGUGAUCCACCCGCCUCAGCCUCCCAAAGUGCUAGGAUUAAAGGCAUGAGCCACUGCACCCAGCCUGUUUUCUCAAAUUUAAUUAAUGAUCUUAAAAACAGAAAUAAUAACAACAACU
rnacentral:lncRNA from 1 species